UACAGAGGUCUCAAGCGUUGUUCGGAUUCAUUGGGCGUAAAGGGCGUGUAGGUGGCGCUGUAAGUCGGGUGUGAAAUUUCGGAGCUUAACUCCGAAACUGCAUUCGAUACUGCGGUGCUUGAGGACUGGAGAGGAGACUGGAAUUCAUGGUGUAGCAGUGAAAUGCGUAGAUAUCGUAAGGAAGACCAGUGGCGAAGGCGGGUCUCUGGACAGUUACUGACACUGAGGCACGAAGGCCAGGGGAGCAAACGGG
rnacentral:rRNA from 1 species